rnacentral:rRNA from 1 species
UACGUAGGGGGGCGAGCGUUGUCCGGAGUUACUGGGCGUAAAGCGCACGCAGGCGGUCUGCUAAGUUUGGAGUGACAGUUGGUGGCUUAACUGCCAAAGUGCUUCGAAAACUGACAGACUUGAGGGCUUACAGAGGGACACGGAAUUCCGGGUGGAGUGGUGAAAUGCGUAGAGAUCCGGAGGAACACCAAAGGCGAAGGCAGUGUCCUGGGGAGUACCUGACGCUCAGGUGCGAAAGCCAGGGGAGCGAACGGGG